GACGGGUGAGUAACACGUGGAUAACCUACCUAUAAGACUGGGAUAACUUCGGGAAACCGGAGCUAAUACCGGAUAAUAUAUUGAACCGCAUGGUUCAAUAGUGAAAGACGGUUUUGCUGUCACUUAUAGAUGGAUCCGCGCCGCAUUAGCUAGUUGGUAAGGUAACGGCUUACCAAGGCGACGAUGCGUAGCCGACCUGAGAGGGUGAUCGGCCACACUGGAACUGAGACACGGUCCAG
rnacentral:rRNA from 1 species